rnacentral:rRNA from 1 species
AGUGAACGCUGGCGGUAGGCCUAACACAUGCAAGUCGAACGGCAGCACAGUAAGAGCUUGCUCUUACGGGUGGCGAGUGGCGGACGGGUGAGGAAUACAUCGGAAUCUACUUUUUCGUGGGGGAUAACGUAGGGAAACUUACGCUAAUACCGCAUACGACCUACGGGUGAAAGCAGGGGAUCUUCGCACCUUGCGCGAUUGAAUGAGCCGAUGUCGGAUUAGCUAGUUGGCGGGGUAAAGGCCCACCAAGGCGACGAUCCGUAGCUGGUCUGAGAGGAUGAUCAGCCACACUGGAAGUGAGACACGGUCCAGACUCCUACGGGAGGCAGCAGUGGGGAAUAUUGGACAAUGGGCGCAAGCCUGAUCCAGCCAUACCGCGUGGGUGAAGAAGGCCUUCGGGUUGUAAAGCCCUUUUGUUGGGAAAGAAAAGCAGCAGGUUAAUACCCCGCUGUUCUGACGGUACCCAAAGAAUAAGCACCGGCUAACUUCGUG